UACGAGGGGUGCGAGCGUUAUUCGGAAUUAUUGGGCGUAAAGGGUGUGUAGGCGGUCUUUUAAGUCACUUGUGAAAUCCUUCGGCUCAACUGGAGGCUAGCGAGUGAAACUGAUCGACUUGAGGGUGGAAGAGAGAAGUGGAAUUCUCGGAGUAGCGGUAAAAUGCGUAGAUCUCGAGAGGAACACCAAUGGCGAAGGCAGCUUCUUGGUCCAUACCUGACGUUGAGGCACGAAAGCGUGGGGAGCAAACAGG
rnacentral:rRNA from 1 species